rnacentral:rRNA from 1 species
GAUGAACGCUGGCGGCGUGCUUAACACAUGCAAGUCGAACGGUGAAGCAGAGCUUGCUCUGUGGAUCAGUGGCGAACGGGUGAGUAACACGUGAGCAACCUGCCCCGGACUCUGGGAUAAGCGCUGGAAACGGCGUCUAAUACCGGAUACGAGAUUCCACCGCAUGGUGAGUUUCUGGCAAGAUUUUUUGGUCUGGGAUGGGCUCACGGCCUAUCAGCUUGUUGGUGAGGUAAUGGCUCACCAAGGCGUCGACGGGUAGCCGGCCUGAGAGGGUGACCGGCCACACUGGGACUGAGACACGGCCCAGACUCCUACGGGAGGCAGCAGUGGGGAAUAUUGCACAAUGGGCGGAAGCCUGAUGCAGCAACGCCGCGUGAGGGAUGACGGCCUUCGGGUUGUAAACCUCUUUUAGCAGGGAAGAAGCGAAAGUGACGGUACCUGCAGAAAAAGCGCCGGCUAACUACGUGCCAGCAGCCGCCGUAAUAC